rnacentral:rRNA from 1 species
AUUGAACGCUGGCGGCAGGCCUAACACAUGCGAGUCGAGCGGGGACUUCGGUCCUAGCGGCGAACGGGUGAGUAAUGCUUGGGAAUCUGCCCAGUAGUGGGGGAUAACGUCCCGAAAGGGACGCUAAUACCGCAUACGUCCUACGGGAGAAAGAGGGGGAUCUUCGGACCUCUCGCUAUUGGAUGAGCCCAAGUCGGAUUAGCUAGUUGGUAGGGUAAUGGCCUACCAAGGCGACGAUCCGUAGCUGGUCUGAGAGGAUGAUCAGCCACACUGGAACUGAGACACGGUCCAGACUCCUACGGGAGGCAGCAGUGGGGAAUAUUGGACAAUGGGCGAAAGCCUGAUCCAGCCAUGCCGCGUGUGUGAAGAAGGCCUUCGGGUUGUAAAGCACUUUAAGCGGGGAGGAAGGUUCGCGGCCUAAUACGUCGCGGAAUUGACGUUACCCGCAGAAUAAGCACCGGCUAACUCUGUG